rnacentral:lncRNA from 1 species
UUUUUUUUUUUUUGUUCUGAAUUUCUUACAAAAUACAAUACAGAGACUUAAUAGAUUUUAGUCCGCCGGAGUUGACUAAAAAGGGACCCGGCCUGCUCUUUUCUUGUUUGGUGAACCGUUCGAUUGUCGACGAUGAAAUUUGACGGUUCAGAUUGAGUGUUGCUUCCAGUAAUUUUCAGGGUAAGUCUUUUGAAUCGAAUUCUUUCCUUUUCUUUAAAUUAAAAAAAAAAAACAUAUAAAAUAUUUUAGAAAAUUAUACAUCUAUUUUGCUAAGAUGUUUAAUAUUUUUUAAAUUUUAAUAGUUUCAAGAUUUUUCAAAAAAUUAUUUUUCAAUUAAUUUCUAAAAGAUUUUUAAUCAAUAACAUAACCAUUCAGUUUUUUAUUUUCUUAUAUAAUAACAUAUAUAUAUAUAUAUAUAAAUUUUAUACAUUCUAAAAAUUGGUAUAUAACUUACUUCCAUAAUAAGUUAUUUUUAAAGGUAACUUAGAUUCUAGAAAAAAGAAUUCUUUUGGCAUUUUCAAAAUAAAUAUUGUUUUGACUAUACAUAUUUUAAUUUUCAUAUACUUCUUUUACUUUCUUCAAGGUUUUAAUUUUCUAUGGCCAUAAAUAUAUCAAAAAAAUAUGGAAGAAAAAAAUUAUAAAUUAUCCGUUUGCUUAAAUUACAGAUUAAAUAAUUUAAUUAUAUUAAAAAUUUAUUUAAACGUUACAACUGAAAAAACUAAAAAUUGUAAUGUUAGUUCGUUAAACAAUUUUAUAGAUGAUUCGUAUUAAAGAAGAAGACAAUAACCUCUGAUAAUUUGCAUGCAUGGUUAAUGCGAAAUUAUUAUAGACGAUAACAGCGAUGAAACUUUAAUUAUUAGAAGGGUGAUUUAUUUUUCAUAUUCAGUUAAUAAAAAUUUAAUUCUUUUAUAAAACUAUAUCACAAAAAAAAUAAUAUUAACUUCAUCGAAUAAAACAUAAAAUAUUAUAAAAUAAUGAAUUAUGUUUUUUUUUUUUUUAAGAGUAAGUCUUUUAAUUAUAACUUGAUUCCAUAACAUCCAAAGCAUAUAAACUCUAAUAGAUGUAUAAAUAUCUCAUAACCUAAGAAAAAGCAUAAUUUAUAAUUUUUAAGUAUCAUAAGAACCAAUCAAUCAACUUUGACCAACAUUUUCUAUGAAACAAAUGGUAGAUAAAAUUAAACAAAAUAAAAGAUUAGAUGGAAUAAGCAUGGCUUGAGAAGUAACAUAAAGUCAUUCCAAGCCGUGAUAAUUCUUUAUUCUAAGAUGUUAAUUCUCAUAUUAGGUUAUAUUUUUAAAUAAAAAAAAAGGGAGGGAAAGGGGGAGUAACGAGAACGAAAGUAAAAAAUUAAAUUUUUAAAUAAAAAAUGUUGAUGAUAUUAUUCUACUGAUGUUUAUUAUUUCGUUCGCAUAUAAAAUUAUAAUAAAAAAAAUAAAAAUAAAAAUAAAAAUCUUAUUAUUACAAGAUAUUAAUAUGUUGAACGUGAAGCAAUAUUUAAAAAAAAAAAAAGAGAUGGAAACUAAUUAUUGAAAAAAAAAAUUAAAGGUUUUGGCCCUCUAUUUUGAUUAAAUGUUUAAAGGAUAAAGAAAAAUAUUAAGUAUAAGAAAUUUAACUUACGUAAAAAAAUAAUAAUAAAUAGAAGAAUAACUGAGGAGAAAUUAGAAACUCAAAAUUACAGAUUCAAUUCGAGCUCAAAGUGGUCGAAAUCAAGUUUGAUAAGCUUGAACAAAUAUAUAAUAUGUUAAUUUACAUAUUAUAGUAUUUAUACAAGAUUUUAAAGAUUAUUGUAUUUAUAAUAUUACAUAUAUUAACGUACAUGAAAUAUAAAGGGCAUGUUCACGAAUUUGAAGUUUGAAUCAAGUUCUUUAAUUGACUGAACUCCUUUCUAAAUUCUAUUUUGAUUUUGAUUUUUUUUUAAUUCGGAUAAAUAUAUAUAUAUAUAUAUAUGUGACUUUAUAUUUUAUAUUAAAAACAAAUAAAAAGUAGUAAUAAUAGUAAUAGUAAAAAAUCAUCUAACAAAUAAAAUAGAAAGAAAAUAAUAUUAUCUAAAUUUUAAAGUAUUUCUAAAUUAUUUUGAAGGAGACUAAAACUUAAAAAACACUAAAAUUUUAUCAAUUCUAACAAAAUUUAGAACAUAAAUUCUAUAUAAUGUCACUUUUUUUCUAUCAUUUUAUGGUUGAACUCAAAAUUAAUCCAAUUAUGAAUCACGCAUAAUUCUUCAUUGGUUUCGAAAUAUAACCUUAAAACACCCAUGAUUUGGAAGGAUAAAUUAGUUAUCCCUUGGUUAAAAUAGUUAAUACUUCCAUUGCUUGUCGUAAGACAACAGACAACAGCAAAGGCGGGAUGACGAAGAUCGAACCCAAUCAUCUUCCUUAGUGAUGACAGAGAAAACAAAAUUCAAUCUUACAACGUAAACAACAAGCAUUAUUGCACUUACUACAACAUCCCUUCCCUAAUUGCACUAAAUCCAGAACCUCUUCAAUUAUUAACGGUCGCUGCUUGCGAAACCUCCAGUUUUGGAAUCUCAAAGUUGUAUGGCCACCUUUGCUGCUGGGCAUUGCUUGCUUCAUCUUCAAAUUCAUGGGAGCUACCAACAACUCUGGUGUUGUUUCGAGGAAGAUGGCCUGUUUUGAUUGGCAACUAGAAUUUAUAUCAAUCAGAGUUCCCUUUUCUGCUGCACCAGGCGAUAAGAGCAUGUCUACAUCGUCACUUCUCCCGUUGCUUCUUUCAGUUUACAAAUGCAACAAUCCGAGAAAUGAGCACAAUAACAUUACAGGUAGCGUAUAGCAAAUCACUGCUUUUUAUGUCGUUACAAUUAUAGGAGUUGAAGAAAAUAAGACAGGACAAAUUUGCAAUCAUCUCCCAAGGGCUGUAUAAACAAUUUAAGAACACAAGUUGGCGAGGCAUUCUAAGCAAGGUAAUCUCAUUUUUUACUGUUACAAAAUACCGAAUGAAUCUGUAUUCUUCAGCUAAGGCUGGAACCAGACCCCCUUACACGUGGUUUUCUGCCAAAUGAGAAAACAUACCUCCCUAAAGCCUUGCAUUCCUGUAACUACCCCAAGCAUUUGAUGGUGUUCAGGAUUAGUACUUUAGCAUUGCCAUAAUGAUUUUGAGCAGUAUCAUGAUUUGUCUUCUCACUUCAGCUCUGGUUGGAGCCUCUGGCUAAUGAUGAAGCCCUACUAACCUCACCAACCUCACCCUUACAA